rnacentral:rRNA from 1 species
UGGGGAAUAUUGGACAAUGGGGGCAACCCUGAUCCAGCCAUGCCGCGUGAGUGACGAAGGCCUUCGGGUUGUAAAGCUCUUUUGGCGGGGACGAUGAUGACGGUACCCGCAGAAUAAGCCCCGGCUAACUUCGUGCCAGCAGCCGCGGUAAGACGAAGGGGGGCUAGCGUUGUUCGGAAUUACUGGGCGUAAAGCGAGUGUAGGCGGUUGCCGUAGUCAGGUGUGAAAGCCUUGAGCUCAACUCAAGAAAUGCACUUGAUACUGGGUGACUAGAGGACCGGAGAGGAUAGUGGAAUUCCCAGUGUAGUGGUGAAAUACGUAGAGAUUGGGAAGAACACCAGUGGCGAAGGCGGCUAUCUGGACGGUUACUGACGCUAAGACUCGAAAGCGUGGGGAGCAAACAGGAUUAGAUACCCUGGUAGUCCACGCCGUAAACGAUGGGUGCUAGACGUUGGCGAGCUUGCUCGUCAGUGUCGCAGCUAACGCGUUAAGCACCCCCGCCUGGGGGAGUUACGGCCGCAAGGGUUGAAAACUCAAAAGGAAUUGACGGGGUCAUAGCUGUUUCCU